AAGACCAUCCAAUUUAUUGGCCACAUUUCAAAGAUUGCAUCGGUGCGAUUGAUGGCACACACGUGAUAGCGGUUGUACCUAUUGAGAAGUCCAUUCUAUACUUUGGAAGAAAGGGAUAUCUAACCCAAAAUGUGAUGGUUACAUGUGACUUUGAUAUGCUAUUCACAUUUGUUUUGCUUGGAUGGGAAGGUGCAACACAUGACACUUCCAUUUUUCUUGAUACUAUUCGUAAACAAAGUAACAACUCUCUGCACCCACCACCAGGGAAAUAUUAUGUAGUUGUUUUUGGAUACCCAAUGAUGAAAGGCUAUUUGGCACCAUACAAAGGGAUAUCAUACCAUCUUCAGGAAUUUCAAAGGAGAGGUGGAAGCCCUAGAACUAGACAUAAAAAAUUUAAUUAUACUCACUCAUCUCUUCGAUGUACGAUUGAGCGCACUUUUGGUGUGUGGAAGAAUAAAUGAAGAAUUAUCAGAAACAUGCAAUUUUUUCCAUUUCAUAUCCAAAUACUUAUUGUAUCUGUUACUAUGGCUCUUCAUAAUUUUGUUAGACUAAAUGAUAGAGAUGAUAGGGGCUUCAUAAACGCCAAUAGAAAUUCAAUUUCUAGAAGAGAACAUAAUAGUGAAGCAGGUAGCAGUUAUGAGCAGAACUCAGGAACUUUAACAAACCCUAUGAUGGUGGUUAUUCGUGAUUCCAUUGCUAAUUCCAUUUAGGGGGAUAAUAAUUAGUAGUUGUCUAUUUUUUUUUUUUUUUUAAUAUCAUGUAGUACAAUUUAAACUUGGGUUAUUGGUUUGUAUUUUAUCAUCU